GCGGGAUUAGCUCAGUGGUAGAGCACUUGCCUUCCGAGCAAGAGGCGAAUAGGUUCCAUCGGUUCGAAUCCGAUAUUCCGCUC
rnacentral:tRNA from 1 species